CACGUAGGCGGCUUUUUAAGUCGGGGGUGAAAUCCUGGAGCUCAACUCCAGAACUGCCUUCGAUACUGAAGAGCUUGAGUUCGGGAGAGGUGAGUGGAACUGCGAGUGUAGAGGUGAAAUUCGUAGAUAUUCGCAAGAACACCAGUGGCGAAGGCGGCUCACUGGCCCGAUACUGACGCUGAGGUGCGAAAGCGUGGGAGCAAACA
rnacentral:rRNA from 1 species